ensembl:lncRNA
AGGUGUGGUCAGGGAAGACCCUGGAGGAGGAGGCGGCCUCAGAGGGCCUCAAGCUAAAGGAGAUCUUUUCAGGGCUAAAGGUGGCUCUCAGAACUGCCGAGAGGGCCCAAACAGAGUCUCGACUCCGCUUGCAGGAAGGACCAGCGCAGAGCAGGGCCCUGUGCAGACCUGUCUCAGCCGAGGCCCGCUGCCCGGGGCUUGGACCCCACCUCCUUGGACGCACCGGCCGGUGUUGGUCUGCAAGGAGCCUCCACUGUCAGAAGCGGGGCUGGCUUCAGUCUUCACUUCAGAUGCUUUCGUGCUGCUCUGCUUUUAAU